GUCAAGGGAAGCUGGUGAUGCCAUACUACAGAUCAGCCUCCCCAGACACAGAGCAGGUGAACGGGGAAUCUGGAGGGGCAAAUAGAAGCUAUCCAUUUUUUUUUAAAGUUCCAGCUCAGAGGUUUCCCCCUUUAUGACUGCAGAGUGUAAUAACACAUAGUUCGAAAUAGAAAUAUAGUCGGUGAUGCCAUACACUUUGUCACCUGCAAGCCCUGAGUUGAAGAACAAAUAGAAGAAUGAAUUGAAGGAUGUUUGAAUAAUGACUCAAGUGUUAACAGACACAAAUGGCAGCAUUACUUUCAUAAUAGGAGCACGGAAGACAGAAGGAGAGUGCCACAGUACUGCCUGAGUCCCUCUCUGCAUGUGCCCAGGGAGGAGGCCACGUGAGAGCACAGUAAGAACAUGUCUCUAACAGCCAGGAUGAGAGAUUUCACCAGUAACCAACUCUGAUGGACCCUUGAUCUUGGACUUCCAGUCUCCAGAACUGUGAGAAUAUAAAUUUCUUUUUCUAAGCUACCCAGUCUGUGGUAUUUUGUUUUGGCAGCCCAAGCUAAGACACUAUCAUGGUCUUUGGAACCAAACUGAUGUGGACUCAUAUCUCAGCUCUACCAUUUAUUAGCUCU